ensembl:lncRNA
GGAAAGAUACAGGGUGUCUCGUCCUGAUGAUUGGAUAAGCACAUCAGGCCACAUGAAAAUGAGAGGAAAACAAAAGAGACGAGGUGAAAGUCACACAGAGACGCCCGACUGAGAUGAGAGAGAGAGAGAGAGAGACAGAAACAGGAAAUGUGAGCGUCUUCCUCUUCCUCCAGAACACUUAAAAUGCUCAUCUGUGUUUCCUCAUUGUGCAGUGAUGGCAUGCAUAAUCAGCGUUCCUGAUGUCAUACGGUGUCAGAGAGGGUUUGAACCGCCGGCGUCUCUCUCUGAUGAAGAUGUGAUGGGAUGUUCUUCCCCGCCGAGACUCGUGCAAUGCUGUCAGAUCCUCCUCGGGCUCCAUUUGGGAGUUUCUGCAGACAGCCUGAUCCAUCUUAUGGACCUGUUCCCCAGCGGGCCCCUGGCACCCAACCUGAUACCUGGACCAUCUGUGUGCCAUCGUCCGCCAGUGAUACCAUCUGCCACUGAUAAUGCCCACGUACACAGCUCUCCU